GGCAUUUUUGGCUCAUCGUGUACAGUUAAAGAGAUGACUUUGAGGUAAGCAGUCAUCUGCCAAGAAGGGGCUCUGGAUAGGUCUGACUGAAGGAAGGGGCCCAGGUGCUAGAAUCUUGAGCAGGUGACCUCACUUCCUUAGUGACAAGCCCACAACUAACUUAGAACUCUGGUAACCAGGAACCUACAAUCUAGACCUUCCCACUUUCUAGCUCACUUAACUGCAGAUGGUCAAGUGUACAAGAUGUUCUGUUGCUAUACUCCUACUUUCUGGCACUCUGGGCUCAGGAGAGUCCAGAAUGAGAGACUUUCACGUCGCUGUCUAUGUCAGCUUAGCCUUUACUCUGAAGCUUCUGGUCAUGUGGCAGGAGACACCAACAGAGGGGACAGAAGAGAGGACCAUACCCUUCCUGGGCAGAAACCAGCUGCCAGGUGUUGGAAGCCUGACAUAUCUUUUGUGUUCAGACCCAAGGUCAUAACAGGCAAGAUGAGAAGGGCCCUGUAUUUGCAGAGCUGCACCCAGGAGAUCUUGGAAGAGAUGGUCUGUGCCGUCAACUACUACAACUCCCUAGACAAUUUUAUCAGGUGCACCAGGCAUACAAGGAUCAGGGCUGUGAGAAUGAUAUCCUGUGUAGAAUCCAGCUCCACUGUCACUGAAGAACUUCUCCAAGACCUUACAAAUCAUCACACUAAAGAAGGGGAAUGAGAUCAACCACCAGAAGAAGAAUAAGGUGAGGCUCUGUAUCACUUCCUAUAGGGAAGUUUAGGGCUGUGGUUAUCAGAGAUGUCCCUGAGAGGAACAGUCCUUGCCUCCAUCCCUUUAUUCUCACAUUUACGGGAAUAGUUUGAUAAGAAGUGCAGUUAGUGAGGCAGGUGCAGGGGGCCUUGUUCACCUGAAGGAACAGGAGCCUCCGCACUGGGGAGGCUUGGGGAGCAUUUGGGCUCAUGGCCACUCUGAACAGCAGCCCUGGCCUCCUCAGGCCCCUGGUUGAGGCUUUGGGCAUAGGUGGGGCCACGUUCACACUGACAAGAUCCUCCAGACUCCCUGGAACCCGCUGUCGAGGAUUCGGGAAGUCAUGUGGCCGCGUCAACACAGGGGCGAGUCUGGCCUCCUCAGGACCCAUGGUGGUGAGUAUGGGGGCUGACGUAGGGUCCUACAUGCCUACAGAAAUUGGCCUUUCAGGACCUGCUGUGGAGGCUUCUGGAGGCAUUGGUCGGGUCCACGCCAACAUCAGGAGGUACUCUUCAAAACCACAAGCUACAUCCUGUCCUGCCAGCUGGAGCCCUGAUCCAAGCUGGCCAGCAGAACUCCAGAACAGGAAGAACUGGCCACAGUCAACCUCAGGGCUGAGCCAGUGUCCAGUGGCAACGCAAUGUGCAUGGGACCCAUCUGCUCAACACCUCUUCCUCCCAUCUCUUUACUUAUUUGGAGGGCCAAUAUUUCAUUGUCUGAAAUAAUAAAUGGUACAUUUUAAUAUUAUUAUAUUAAAGCCCCUUUUAUUUUAGA